rnacentral:rRNA from 1 species
AGUGAACGCUGGCGGUAGGCCUAACACAUGCAAGUCGAACGGCAGCACAGUAAGAGCUUGCUCUUACGGGUGGCGAGUGGCGGACGGGUGAGGAAUACAUCGGAAUCUACUUUUUCGUGGGGGAUAACGUAGGGAAACUUACGCUAAUACCGCAUACGACCUACGGGUGAAAGCAGGGGAUCUUCGGACCUUGCGCGAUUGUAUGAGCCGAUGUCGGAUUAGCUAGUUGGCGGGGUAAAGGCCCACCAAGGCGACGAUCCGUAGCUGGUCUGAGAGGAUGAUCCGCCACACUGGAACUGAGACACGGUCCAGACUCCUACGGGAGGCAGCAGUGGGGAAUAUUGGACGAUGGGCGCAAGCCUGAUCCAGCCAUACCGCGUGGGUGAAGAAGGCCUUCGGGUUGUAAAGCCCUUUUGUUGGGAAAGAAAAGCAGCAGGUUAAUACCCCGCUGUUCUGACGGUACCCAAAGAAUAAGCACCGGCUAACUUCGUG